AUUGAACGCUGGCGGCGUGCCUUACACAUGCAAGUCGAACGGUAACGGGCCUUCGGGUGCCGACGAGUGGCGAACGGGUGAGUAAUGCAUCGGAACGUACCUUUCAGUGGGGGAUAACGUAGCGAAAGUUACGCUAAUACCGCAUAUUCUGUGAGCAGGAAAGCAGGGGAUCGCAAGACCUUGCGCUGAUUGAGCGGCCGAUGUCAGAUUAGCUAGUUGGUGAGGUAAAGGCUCACCAAGGCGACGAUCUGUAGCGGGUCUGAGAGGAUGAUCCGCCACCCUGGAACUGAGACACGGUCCAGACUCCGACGGGAGGCAGCAGUGGGGAAUUUUGGACAAUGGGGGCAACCCUGAUCCAGCCAUGCCGCGUGAGUGAAGAAGGCCUUCGGGUUGUAAAGCUCUUUCGGUCGGGAAGAAAUCGCAUGGGUUAAUACCCUGUGCGGAUGACGGUACCGGCAUAAGAAGCACCGGCUAACUACGUGCCAGCCGCCGCCGUAACAC
rnacentral:rRNA from 1 species